rnacentral:rRNA from 1 species
UACGGAGGGUGCAAGCAUUAAUCGGAUUUACUGGGCGUAAAGGGCGCGUAGGCGGAUCUACAAGUCAAAUGUGAAAUUCCGGAGCUCAACUUCGGAGCGGCAUUUGAAACUGUAGGUCUAUAGAGGGAUGGCGGAGAAAAUGGAAUUCCACAUGUAGCGGUGAAAUGCGUAGAUAUGUGGAAGAACACCGGUGGCGAAGGCGGGUCUCUGGGGCCGAUACUGACGCUGAGGAGCGAAAGCGUGGGGAGCGAACAGG